rnacentral:rRNA from 1 species
UACGGAGGAUGCAAGCGUUAUCCGGAAUGAUUGGGCGUAAAGCGUCCGCAGGUGGCUGUGUAAGUCUGCUGUCAAAGAGCGAAGCUCAACUUCGUAAAGGCAGUGGAAACUACACGGCUAGAGUGCGUUCGGGGCAGAGGGAAUUCCUGGUGUAGCGGUGAAAUGCGUAGAUAUCAUGAGGAACACCAGAGGCGAAGGCGGCUACCUGGACAGUUACUGACGCUCAGGCACGAAAGCGUGGGGAGCAAAAGGG